GCCCUCCUCACCGCAGACACAUUUCUCUCCGCUUCCCCGUGCCAUCAUUUCCGCAUACCGCAGAUUGACAUACAUCCUCACACCCAUAUACACCCAAACUCUCCCACGGAGCGAUGCAUCCGAAGCGCGCACUCUCCCUUCCCCUCACUAUUUCCGCACUGAUCAAUAUAUAAUUUUCGCCAUAGGUCCGGGUUAUGAUUCGCGUUUGAUCCUUCUGAUAUGCUCACCAAAGUCUCGGUGUCUGUCUGAGAAAGGGAGAGAGAGAGAAACACAGAGAGGGGGAGAGAUGAAAGGACCCGCAUCAUCAGAUGUUUAGCAGAUCCUCUCUCGCUCUUCGCCGUCAUUCCUGCUGUGCGGUUCUUGGUCUUUUUCCUCCCUACCGUCGGCCGAGUUCGUGACAUUGUUGCGGCUCUCGAUGUUGUAAUCCGAGGGAAUAUGUGAAGAUCAUGCUGGCGGUGUGGUGCUUCAUGGUCUUUGCUGCAGUGGGCGAGAGGCUUACGGUAUCAGGUGUGGACAGGAGCCCAGUGCAGGAUGGAGGCAUCUGGGACUGGUUCACCCCAGCAGGGCAGCCGGACAGCGGGGACACUGCCAUCGAGGUCACCUAUCCAAAGCGGCUGGUCCAAAAGAUCGAGUCGGAGGGGGAAAUGGCUCGUGACUACUUGGAUACCAGGGUGAAGAACAGCACUGAGAACACUUUGCCUGUCCACUUGGCCCAGAGCUAUUUUCAAGUGGAAGCGUUUGGACACACCUUCACUCUGGACCUGGAGCUAAACCAUCACCUCCUGUCUUCAGAAUAUGUGGAGCGGCACUUUAACCAUGAUGGCAGACCCUCACAGUCGAUGGGAGGAGAGCACUGCUACUACCAGGGAAGGUUACGAGGUUUACCCGAGUCCUGGGCAGCGCUCUCCACCUGCCACGGCCUGUGCGGCAUGUUCUCUGAUGGCUUCUUCUCUUACGGUAUCGAGCCUGUUCAAAAUGGAAGCAAUCAGGAGGAUGGUGCUCACUUAAUCCGCAGGAUGCCUGAUAUCAGACUUUCCCCUCACUGCACAGACUGUACAGAGGACAGUGAGUGGGAUAGCAGAGGAGGUGAUGGUGAUCACGACAGACCGGACCAAACCACAGAAGAGCAGGUGUCAGGGGGGCUGAGGCGAUCCAAGAGAUCUGUCCGCAAACCCUCUGUCCAGACUGAGACCAAAUAUAUUGAGUUGAUGGUGGUCAACGACAACGAAAUGUUUGUACAGCUGCGUCACUCCAGCAGCCAAACCAAGAACUUUGCCAAAGCAGUGGUCAACAUGGCAGAUGCGAUCUACAAGGAACAGUUGAACACGCGGAUCGUGCUGGUUGCCAUGGAGACCUGGACCUCUAAAAAUAUGAUGCCAGUAUUGGAAGAUCCUUUGAUAACGCUGCAGAACUUCAUGAGAUACAGGAAAGACAACAUCAAAGAUCAGAGUGACCUCGUCCAACUUUUCUCAGGGCGUACAUUUCACAGUAGCCGCAGUGGGACGGCCUACACCGGGGGGGUGUGCUCUCUAACAAGAGGAGGGGGCAUCAACGAGUAUGGGAAUGUAGGGGCGAUGGCCAUCACUUUGUGCCAGAGUCUCGGCCAGAACAUCGGCAUGAGGUGGAACAACAUGCGCAACUCUGCAGGAGACUGCAGGUGUCCAGACGCCUGGCUGGGCUGCAUCAUGGAGGACACGGGAUACUAUCUUCCCAGAAAGUUCUCUCGCUGCAGUGUUGAUGAGUACAGCCAGUUCCUGCUCCAGGGGGGCGGGAGCUGCCUCUUCAACAAGCCAAACAAGCUGUUGGACCCUCCAGAGUGUGGGAAUGGCUUCGUGGAGCCGGGGGAAGAGUGUGAUUGUGGAUCCCAGGUGGAGUGCGCCCGUAGCGGAGGAGCCUGCUGUAAAAAGUGCACACUUACCCAUGAUGCCAUGUGCAGUAACGGACUCUGCUGCAGCGGCUGCAAGUAUGAGCAGAGAGGCGUGGUGUGUCGAGAGGCUGUGAACGACUGUGAUAUCCCAGAGACCUGCACCGGAGACUCCAGCCAGUGUCCUCACAAUGUGCACAAGCUGGAUGGCUACAUAUGUGAUACGAGUCAGGUAAAGGCAGGUUUGUUUUCUAGUCUGCUGCUCACUCUGAGUUAUGAUGUAUUCUUGAUUGUUGUUACCUCAUUUCUUCAGGGCCGCUGUUACGGAGGACGAUGUAGGACUCGUGAUGGACAGUGUAGGGGCCUCUGGGGUUAUAAUUCAGCAGACAGGUUUUGUUAUGAGAAGCUGAACGCUGAGGGGACAGAGAAAGGAAACUGUGGUCCGGGUCCUGAGGGCCAGGGCUGGCUGCAGUGCAACAAGCCGGAUGUUUUAUGCGGCUUCCUGUUCUGUGCCAACGUCACCAUGAAGCCAAAGUUUGGAGACCUGCAGGGGGAGGUGACCAGCUUCACCCUCUACCACCAGAACAAGUACUUGGACUGCAGAGCAGGCCAUGCUCUGCUGGAGGACGGCUCCGACCUGGGCUAUGUGGAGGACGGCGCCCCCUGCGGGCCCAACAUGAUGUGUCUGGAGCGACGCUGCCUCCCUGUGGCCACGUUCAACCUCAGCACCUGCUCGGGAUCUACCUUUGGGCGCAUCUGCUCCGACCACGGGACCUGCAGUAAUGAAGUGAAGUGUAUCUGUGACAGGGACUACACAGGCAAGGACUGCAGUGUCUUCGACCCCAUCCCAGAGCCAACCGUCCCAACAGGCCCAGAGAAGAAAGUGGUGUUAUUUUGUUUCUGCCCCUCCUCUUCCGCACUCUUCCUCCCUACUCCUUCCUCUGUGCAGGUCCCAGUGGCACCAAUAUCAUAAUAGGGUCCAUCGCAGGGGCUAUUCUCCUGGCAGCUAUAGUCCUAGGGGGGACAGGAUGGGGAUUUAAGAACAUCCGGAGAGGAAGAUCUGGCGGUGGAUAAGAUGUGUCUGUCUCUCUGUCUGUCUGUCCUGUCUACUCCUGUCUUCCUCCUCGCACUGUGUCCUUUCCACAUCAGAGAAGAGGGAAACAAAAAAAAAGUCUUCCACAUCUCAAAUUUCUCCAAACCUCUACUGAAUACCGUCUCCUCCUAUCGUCCGUCCUCCAUCCGGGCCCUGCGGAGCUCCAUUCACCAAACCAGCCAAGUCAGACUUGUUGUGGCUGUUUCCAUCGUCGCCACCGAGGACUGUGUGUGGGCCCGAGCAGGGGGUCCGUCCCCUGAGAGACACCGGGGUCUUCCUCCAGUCUGGUGGAGUGUGAUUCGGUGUCUGUGCACCUCCUUUUGAACAGUCUGGUGAAGAUCAUAUCGACGUCCAAUUCUAUAUCAGACUUGUCUUGCCUGCCUGUCUGGAUACAAAUUAAUCUGGCCACCAACUGAGUCCACAGCUAAAUGUUGGACAGACUGGACUUCUAAUAGACUAAACUAAUGUAAAAGGAGCUGAAUGCUUUCUUUUGAAAAUGACCCAAGGCACAGUUCCUCAAAGGACAGGCCCUCAAAGUGGACAAUAGUCUGUUUCAAUCCACAAGUCUGGCACCAUGAAUUUGAAAAGAAAACACUGGACUGAUGUGGAAGGGCUCAACCGAAGGCUCAAAAACCAGUCAGUCACUAGCCAGAUCCCAGACUGAUAACCGAGUUUAUGUUCGUCGUUAUUUGUUCUUUAAACUUGAGGCAUCUUACCUGCCCCCUUACACAAGUGUUCAGGUACAAAAAGGGAAGCAAGGUGUCAUGGUUUUGGGAUCAUUUUUAAAAACAACUGAACUUCAGCAGAGACCGUAACUUAGUGCUUUCCAGCCGACAUACAUUCCACUUUAUCUGUCUGUGUGCUCACCACUUUCUGACCCAAAGUGUGUACCCUCUCCCAGGUCGGAUCUGUAUGUCUGUUCACAGAUGAAUGUACGCAUGUAAGAGAUUUUUUUUUAAAGAAAGUAAGAAUGUAUGUGUGUUUACAUUAGUGCUAGGGGCCAUUUGUGUCCAUGUACACUUUAACACUCCUCCUAUCACAGUAGAUUGGCAGGUUUUGAACCUUAGAAUAUCAUCUCUUUCUACAAACGGCAGCCAUGGAACCAUAAAGGCAGCACAUUAAUACAGAAUGAAACUGUUUUUAUUUAAUGUAUCUACAGAAAAGGAGCACUAGCCAACUGUAUGCACACUUAUUUGUAAAUAUGUGCAAGAAUGACUGAAUGCACUGUAUGAAGAUGUAUUUAAAAGCUAUGUUAAAAUAAUGAGUUGUAUUCUGACAAGACAUCUGCAGAUCUCUCCAAUAUUCAACACUGUCCAUGAAUCUCUCACUCUUAUCAUUCCAGCUGUCCCUUAGAUGUCCAGGAUAUUUUGUACGUUUGUUGAUAGCCCUGAGCCCUGGGUGAACAGCUCCACCAAGAGGCUUUGUAAUGAUGCCGCUGUAAAUGAGAUUAAAGAGAUCUAGUGGGGGGGUCCAGGAGGCAGCUCGUCUGAAACUGUACGUAGGUCAGUUUGGUUCAUUUGAGCUUUGCACUAUGGCAGCUGCACUAUUGUAAUUAGAAAAUGUACAGCGGUAUGAAAUACAAUCCGUUUGAUUUAAAAGGUAAAUUAAAAAAAGAGAAUAAGAUCAAUCGUAUCCCAUAUUUUUAGACACAAUCUUUUCGAAUUGAGACAAAAAGAGAGAAAUUAACUAAAAGAUUGUAGUUGAUUUGACAAUGAAGGAAAAUAAAAUACUGAAACAUUUAAAACACACCUUCAUCUCUGGCUACCUUGCUUUUUUUUUGGUAUUUAUAGUUCAUGAUUUUAAUAAAUGAUUAUACUUUUUCAA